AACGCCGCGUGUGUGAUGAAGGGCCUUCGGGUCGUAAAGCACUGUGGAGGUGGAACGAGCCGCCGGGGGGCUAAAUACCCCUUCGGCCCCGACGGUACCACCAGAGGAAGCACCGGCUAACCCUGUGCCAGCAGCCGCGGUAAUACAGGGGGUGCAAGCGUUGUUCGGAAUUAUUGGGCGUAAAGCGCGUGUAGGCGGACCAUUAAGUCUGGUGUGAAAUCCCUCGGCUUAACCGAGGACGUGCAUUGGAUACUGGUGGUCUUGAGUCCUGGAGAGGGGUAGCGGAAUUCCCAGUGUAGAGGUGAAAUUCGUAGAUAUUGGGAGGAACACCGGUGGCGAAGGCGGCUACCUGGACAGUGACUGACGCUGAGACGCGAAAGCAUGGGUAGCAAACAGGAUUAGAUACCCUGGUAGUCCAUGCCGUAAACGAUGGGUGC
rnacentral:rRNA from 1 species